CUUGCAGUGAGCUGAGAUCCGGCCACUGCACUCCAGCCUGGGCGACAGAGCGAGACUCCGUCUCAAAAAAAAAAAAAAGAAAAACCCAACUUAAUUUUGUGCAUGAUUUUCAUACCUUCCUUCACUUUGCUGGGAUAUGUCAUGUUAUUGAUCCAGCUCAACUUUAUGUAUAUGAGAAACUUGGACAGUCUGGACGAUAGAAUAAAUGAAGUCAAUAAAACCAUUCUUUUAACAACCUUAAUACCAUACCUUCAGAGUGUUAUUUUCCUUUUUGUCAUAAGGUGUCUGGACAUGAAGUACGGAAUUGAAAUAAUGAAUAAAGACCCAGUUUUCAGAGUCUCUCCAUGACGUAGAGAAACUCAUCCCAAUCCAGAAGAGCCUGAAGAAGAAGAUGUUCAAGCUGAAAGAGUCCAAGCAGCAAAUGCACUCACUACUCCAAACUUGGAGGAGGAGCCAGUCAUAACUGCAAGCUGUUUACACAAGGAAUAUUAUGAGGCAAAGAAAAGUUGCUUUUCAACAAGAAAGAAGAAAAUAGCCAUCAGAAAUGUUUCCUUUUGUGUUAAAAAGGUGAAGUUUUGGGAUGAGUAGGACACAGUGGAUCUGGUAAAAGUACUUCCAUUAAAAUGACAGCUGGGUUCACAAAGCCAACUGCAGAAGCGGUGGUGUUACAAGGCAACAGAGCAUCAGUAAAGCAACAGCGUGACAACAGCCUCAAGUUCUUGGGGUACUGCCCUCAGGAGAACUCACUGUGGCCCAAGCUUACAAUGAAAGAGCACCUGGAGUUGUAUGCAGCUGUGAAAGGACUGGGCAAAGAAUAUGCUGCUCUUAGUAUUUCAUGAUUGGUGGAAGCUCUUAAGCUCCAGGAGCAACUUAAGGCUCCCGUGAAAACUCUAUCAGAGAGAUAAAAGAGAAAGCUAUGCUUUGUGCUGAGCAUCCUGGGGAACCCAUCAGUGGUGCUUCUAGAUGAGCUGUUCACCAGGAUGUACCCCGAGGGGCAGCAGCAAAUGUGGCAGAUACUUCAGGCUACCGUUAAAAACAAGGAGAGGGGCGCCGUCUUGACCACCCAUUACAUGUCAGAGGCUAAAGCUGUGUGUGGCCAUCAUGGUGUCAGGAACGCUAAGUUGUACUGGUUCUAUUCAACAUCUGAAAAACAAGUUUGGUAAAGGUUUUUACUAGAAAUUAAAAAAUGAAAGAACCUACUCAGGUGGAAGCUCUCCACACAGAGAUUUUGAAGCUUUUCCCACAGGCUGCUCGGCAGGAAAGACAUUCCUCUUUAAUGCCGUAUAAGUUACCUGUGGAGGAUGUCCACCCUCUGUCUCAGGCCUUUUUCAAAGUAGAGGCAGUGAAACAGACCUUCAAUGUGGAGGAAUACAGCCUCUCUCAGGACACCUUGGAGCAGGUAUUCUUAGAACUCCGUACAGAGCAGGCGCUGGGAAAUGUUGAUGAUAGAAGUACAGCAGUUUGAUGGAAACUUCUCCCACAGGAAGACUCUUAAAACGAAGAACCUCCUAACAUUCAAUUUUAAGUCCUACUACAUUGUUAGUUUCCAUAAUUCUACAAGAAUGUUUCCUUUUACUUCAGUUAACAACAACAAAAAAAAAUUCAGUAGUUUAAACAUUCAAUAAUGAUUAAAGUUUUCAUUUUUAAAAAUUUUAGGAUGAAGGAAACAAGGAAAUACAGGGAAAAGUAGUAGACAAAAUUAACAAAAUCAGACAUGUUAUUCAUCCCCAAUAUGGGUCUAUUUUGUGCUUAAAAAUAAUUUUAAAAAUCAUAUAUUAGGUUGGUUUUUGGUUAUUAUCAAUAAAGUUAACACUGAGCACAUUUUACAAAUAAAAAAAUUUUCUAGCCUAAAUUUCAAAUGUAUCAGCUAUUUUUAAACAUUAGUUACUCAGAUUAUAAUUUAAUGUGACACUGACUAUAAGAUGAUCUGAUGAAAUGGCACAACAUAACAUUUAAUUAUAAUGACAUUCUGAUUAUAAAAUAAAUACAUGUGAAUAUUGGUACAUAUUGAAAUUAUAUGCAAGAAGAUAACCAUAAUCUGUAAGAAAGUACCACAGUUAAUAUUUUAUUUAGCCAACUUAUAUUCAAUGUAUUUUUUAUGGGUUCUUUUUCAAAGGUAAUAUCAGUAGGCACAGUCAUUUUCUACAUCUUUUCACCUCACAAUUCAUGAACAUUUCCCAGGUCAUUAUAACACUUUUGUGUUAUAUAAUUGCUGCAUUAAUGUUAUAGCUGUAUUGAUAUAAUACCAGAGUUGUUAUAUUUGGGUCAUAUGCAAAUGUAUUUCUUAGAAAUGAAACUUUGAUAGACUUAAAAAAAUGUGGCAAGCCAGGUACGGUGGCUCACGCCUGUGAUCACAGCACUUUGGGAGGCUGAGGCGGGUGGAACACCUGAGGUCAGGACUUCGAGACCAGCUUGGCCAAUAUGGUAAAACUCCAUCAACACUAAAAAUACAAAAAUUGGCUGGGCAUGGUGGUGGGCACCUGUAAUCCCAGUUACUCGAGAGGCUGAGGCAGGGGAAUUGCUUGAGCCUGGGAGGCGGAGGUUGCAAUGAGCUAAGAUGGUGCCACUGCACGCCAGCCUGGGUGACAAGAGUGAGAUUCCAUCUCAAAAAAAAGGAGCAGUUAUGCCCUGGCAAAAGAAACUUUAUGGGAACUUUGGAAUCCAUGUCAAAGGGUGUAAACCCAAGACUGAGGAGGGCUGUAUUGAGAAGGCAUGACCUUGCUUGAGUGGCAUGCUUGCCCAUCACAGUCCCAACUACAAAAUAAAAUAUGACUAAUUCUCACUGUAAAUACAGCUGUAGACCAUUUGGUUUUGUUUAUGCCACUAGCACCAUCUGCCAAGACACCAAGUGUCCUGUGUCUCAGGUGAAAGGACUUUAGAUGUUGAUCCUCUCUGUGAUCUCUGAAUUAGCCCCUUGCACACAUCUAUCAUGGUGUGGAAGAAAUCCUGCACAUGCAGGAACCCACAGACAGAAACAUCCUUCUGUGCCCCUGGAUGUAGGCUUGCCAACAUUUAUUUAAUGGUGGAUCUUGAUGUGGCACUAUAAUCUGGCUCCAAGUCCAUAAAACCAAAGUCCAGAAACAGUUUUUCCUAACCUGGGACCUGCCAAAAAGCACACUAUAUGUGCCCCUCUAGGCAUGCUGGCUGACUUUAUUCCCACUGUGAAUUUUGAAGCAGUCCUAAAACCUACCUCCAGUCCCUGUCAGCUAAAGUCUGGGAAGAGUCCUGUUCACCCAGGAACCUACAGGGAGAAAUGCCAUGAACCCGGAAACAAACCUGAAGACUUUGGUCUCAGCUGUGUAUGCCGAAACAGCCCUAUGAAUCAGUUCCACACCCUCUCAGCUGUGAUCAAGGGUCAGUACUGCUCAUCUAGGAACCUGUCCAAUGACGGGGUUAGAGGAUUUCCAAACACCCAGCAGGAGCCACACAGCAGAAGCCAUGCCUGCUCACAUGGAUUGUAUCAGCUCUGUCAUCUGCAUAUAAAACUGGAGACUUUUUUUCCCCAGCACCAGUCUUAUUGAUCAAGAUCCUGAAGAAAGUUCAGUCUUUCCAGAAAAUAGAAUCCACAACGGUCUGAUGCCCUAAUAACAGGUCUACCAAGCAUGAACUUCACUGUGAUCCAGAUCCAAUGCACCUUACUGCAAUCUCAUCAGCACAGAAAUCCAAUAGGAGAAAAUAUUUACCUCCCCAAACUAAUCUAUAAUGACUGAAAGAGGUAUAUACUCCUUCAGAUACAGGGACAUCAAAACAAGGUAUCACAGAUCAUGAAGGAUCAGGCAAACAUAACAUCACCAAAGGAAAUUAAAAAUGCUCCAGUAACCACUUACAAUAAAACACAGAUCUAAAAAAUGGCUAAUAAUUCAAAUAAUUAUCUUAAAGAAUCUCAAUGAGAUGCAAAAAGCCACACAUUACUAAAUUUUUUUUACAACAAUGUAUGAACAAAAUCACAAUUAUAAUAAAGAGAACCUAUUAAAAGAGAACCAAAUAGAUAUGCUGGAGCUGAAGUACACAAUAGGAGAUCUAAAAUAUUAAAGAGAGAGCUUUAACAGGAGACUUCAUUACACAGGGGGGUUAAAAAAAAAAAAGCAAACGUAAAAGUAAGUCAUUUGAAA